CAGCCGCCGCGGUAAAACGAAGGGGGCUAGCGUUGUUCGGAAUUACUGGGCGUAAAGCGCGCGUAGGCGGUUACUCAAGUCAGAGGUGAAAGCCCGGGGCUCAACCCCGGAACUGCCUUUGAAACUAGGUGACUAGAAUCUUGGAGAGGUCAGUGGAAUUCCGAGUGUAGAGGUGAAAUUCGUAGAUAUUCGGAAGAACACCAGUGGCGAAGGCGGCUCACUGGCUCAUACUGGACGCUGAGGUGCGAAAGCGUGGGGAGCAAACAGGAUUAGAGACCCCAGUAGUCCCUGUCUCUUAUAC
rnacentral:rRNA from 1 species